UACGUAGGGGGCUAGCGUUGUCCGGAAUCAUUGGGCGUAAAGAGCGUGUAGGCGGUCCGGUAAGUCCGCUGUGAAAGUCGGGGGCUCAACCCUCGAAUGCCGGUGGAUACUGUCGGGCUAGAGUGCGGAAGAGGCGAGUGGAAUUCCUGGUGUAGCGGUGAAAUGCGCAGAUAUCAGGAGGAACACCAGUGGCGAAGGCGGUGCUCUGGGCCAGUACUGACGCUGAGGAGCGAAAGCGUGGGGAGCGAACAGG
rnacentral:rRNA from 1 species